CGAACAGGAGAGUCACGAACGGGCACAUGGCAGAGUGCCACUUUCACAAACUCAUCCUACAUCCUUCUGACGCACCAUCAUUAUUAAAGGCAAUGCUUUGUGAGGCUCUCGGAUGACAUAACUUUAGCAUAUAAGCUCCUAAAGACUCUUAUUCUGCAUUUAAUCAUCUAUACACAAAGCCUAAGCUUACUUAACAUUUGAACACUGCUCUUCUGCUGCUGUAGUGUGUCCGUAGUUUCUCCACAGAUUUCUUCACUGUCUGCGAGAAGAUAAAUGAUUUCCAGAAGAUCUCUGAUCCUAACAUGGCCCUCCAGUGGGACCUGCACAACAUACGAACCGCUCUGCCUUUCUAUUCAUCCGCAGUGGGAAACUCAUCUCAUCCUACGCAGAGGAAGGUUAGAGACCUCUCUAUGGCAAACAAACGCACAGGCUCUGGGAACGCUCCGGUUUAGCUGUCAAAAAACAGCCAAGCAAACAAAAAUGCUAAUGAAUCAGUCAGCUUUGAGCACAGGCCAGUGCUCCGGACAUCUCCAGCUGCAUGAAGGACCAGUGAAUAUAUCAAUGUUUCCCAAAAUCCUCUGGUGCAGUCCGUCUUCAGCGUCUCUAAAUGAUGCAGGUCACUUCUUCAAACAUGACAGAUCUGGAUCUUCACCUCCUACUGUCUGUGCAUAUUACUUUAUUUUAUUUUUUAUCUCUGCUGUCUAGCUUUGCCUCUAAAGAACACACUUCGCUGGUUGUAAAGUAUUGCAUUGCCCGUGAUCCACUGUAUAGUCUGGUAUUGAGAUGCAGUGUUUUUGCCAAGAGUGAUGAGUGCAUGGAAAACAUUAACAUUCUCAUUUAAUAGCAAGGCAAAACAGAAGUAACCACAGCAAAGAAAAUCUCUUUAAUACCACCCUUAUGUCUCCUAGAUGACAAUGAGAUUCAACCACAAGCUAAUGGAGAUGUUCUCCUGAUUAAAAAAACAAAACACACAUCUCUAGAGUUUCAAAAGCGAUGCUAAUGUCUCAAACACAGUGGAAUUUUCAGAGAAACAUCUGAGUCAUACUGGUAAAUAAGACAACGUUGCAUUCGCAUGUAUUCUUAUCUCUUUCCGCGCCGGCGUUUUUUAAUAAGUUGCCAGCCAUCACUAGCAUCUCUGAUUUUCACAAAACUUUCAUAGUCCCCAGAAUAUUUUGUUUUAUGCAUAUCUGAACAUGCAAUAUAUCAAA